rnacentral:lncRNA from 1 species
CCGCCAAUCAUUUGUGUACCUAUUAACCUGCUAACGACACCCAAUUUGUACACAACUAUAUAUUCUAUAAGAGGGGCUAUUUGGAUCCUUUUAUUUAGAAAAAAUGAAAUCUAUUUAGUGAAUUUGUUUAGAAUUUGACAUUCCACAACUUUUCAAAAUUUACAUAUAAGCCUCUCUCAAAUUCAUAGAAUAGAGAUGGAAAAAUAAUUCUGUAGACCACCAUUGUAGUAUAUUUCUAUUUUGCAGCUUAUAACACGUUUUUUAACUCGCUCCAUAUGGUAGAAAUGUAAUACACAAUUAAGUAUCUCUCGUGUAGUCAAUAAUAAUAUAUAAAAAUAAUCCAAGUACAACAUGUUAGUUUAAUUAACAUGUGUCUAAAUUAUUAUUAUUAAUAUAAAUUCAAUUCCAACAAUAUAAACGGG